rnacentral:rRNA from 1 species
UCAGGAUGAACGCUAACGGCAGGCUUAACACAUGCAAGUCGAGGGGCAACGCGAGUAGCAAUACUUGGCGGCGACCGGCGCAAGGGUGCGUAACGCGUGAGCAACAUGCCCGUAUCAGGGGGAUAAUCCAGGGAAACUUGGUCUAAUACCCCAUAGUAAUUUUGUAAGGCAUCUUAUAAGAUUUAAAGCUUUGGUGGAUACGGAUUGGCUCGCGUGACAUUAGCUGGAUGGUAAGGUAACGGCUUACCAUGGCUAUGAUGUCUAGGGGUUCCGAGAGGAAGGUCCCCCACACUGGAACUGAGACACGGUCCAGACUCCUACGGGAGGCAGCAGUGAGGAAUAUUGGACAAUGGAUGGAAAUCUGAUCCAGCCAUGCCGCGUGAAAAGGAAGAAGGUCCUAUGGAUUGUAAACUUCUUUUGUAUGGGAGCAAUAAGGCCUACGAGUAGGUUGAUGAGAGUACCAUACGAAUAAGCACCGGCUAACUCCGUGCCAGCCGCCGC